rnacentral:rRNA from 1 species
AUGUCUGUCUUGCACCAUAUGAUAGUCUCCUGGUCUCACACGAACACAACCACAAACCAGCAAACCAAAGCAACGAAGGUUCAAAGGAACGAAAGCAAAGCGACACAAGACUCGACACAAGGCUCGCAAAUCCUACAUUCUCUCCCCCUUUGGCAUCGAGACACCAAAAAGGCAGAGAGGACACCUACGACACAAGUGGUGGUAGACCUCCAAAGCAUCACCAGUCAUGUUCCUCCUCCUCAGACUCCUCUGCAGCACGGGAUGAAGAGCGAACUCUGGUAUCCUCCUCAGACUCACUCCACUGGUAGUGCUGACGGAUCCAUGGUUCCUCAUCUGUGA